CACUGAUUCCUGAGAAGGUACUCAGCAUAAUAGAUCAGAUGAAUUUAUCUGGGAAUUUUAUCAGCCAGCAGGUUGCUAAACAACUGGAACAGCAGCAAGGAAAACAGACUGUUAAACAGUAGGAGAGCUGUACCUUGUGCAGCAGAAAGGCAAAUAACCGACCGCCAAGAAAUACAAAUCGGUGGCUGCUACAACUGUACUAAACUGGAAAGCAGGUUUGGAGAAGAAGCAAGCAGAGGACCACACAGAAAGCAGAUAAUAAAGAGUGAUCUAUAGCAAGAAAUCAGUUGGAAGCCAAGAUGCAGAACACUAAAACAGCAAGAUUUUUUUUUGAAGAGAAUGACCAGCAAUCAUAAAAGUCAAUCUUCAGCUCCAGCUCAUCUACCACGAAAAAUAAAGCACUGAUGGCCACAUAGUAAGUUUGUAUUGCUUACAAACUUUCAAAUGCUUCUGGUGAGCUGGGGGAAGAUAAACAGGAACAUUAAAGCAGGAGUUGGCGAGGGCAAAAGUAUUGCUGACUCUCAGUUACCUUAUUCCAAUUGUCCAGUGUCAAACUGCUAACACAAGGGAUGAUGAAUAACUGAUUUACCUGGCAGCCACUCUAUCCAGCACUAAAGGAAAUUGUUCAGUUACUGCAUUGCUUCCUUGAUG